rnacentral:rRNA from 1 species
UGGGGAAUAUUGGACAAUGGGCGAAAGCCUGAUCCAGCCAUGCCGCGUGUGUGAAGAAGGUCUUCGGAUUGUAAAGCACUUUAAGUUGGGAGGAAGGGCAGUAAGCGAAUACCUUGCUGUUUUGACGUUACCGACAGAAUAAGCACCGGCUAACUCUGUGCCAGCAGCCGCGGUAAUACAGAGGGUGCAAGCGUUAAUCGUAAUUACUUGGCGUAAAGCGCUCGUAGGUGGUUCGUUAAGUUGAAUGUGAAAGCCCCGGGCUCAACCUGGGAACUGCAUCCAAAACAGGCGAGCUAGAGUAGGGCAGAGUGUGGUGGAAUUUCCUGUGUAGCGGUGAUAUGCGUAGAUAUAGGAAGGAACACCAGUGGCGAAGGCGACCACCUGGGCUCAUACUGACACUGAGGUGCGAAAGCGUGGGGAGCAAACAGG